AUUCCUGACUCAAACCCGUGAGAAACUUGAUGAGUCGUUUCUCACUUGCGUGCUGCCGAUACUGCUCGAUCCCCUUAUCACAACACGUGAUUGGUCGUACACUAGAUACGGAUUUGUCUUGCUCUCGAAUGUGAUUGCGAGAUUAUCCCACAAAGCUUUAGACGUUUGGUGGAGAGCGAAAUCGGCAAUAAUAUCAUUUUCGAUGUUAUCGACGAUCCACGAGAACACAGUUAAAUCUGUUUCCUCCCAAUCCCGAUACCCCUUGCUGGUUCGUCUUGGAUCUGGGAGUAUCCCCUCCUGCUUCCUAUCGGGACUUUCAUUAGGCGAGACCAUAAUGGGUAGUUCUUCCCGUUUAAUUUGGACGCUACAGUAACGAUUUUGUUUGUCCUCAACUUUGAGGAUUCGGUGUUUGCUGGUUUCUCUUCGUCUGAUUCUGACAUUUUGUGUAGGAGUUGGUUUCUGUUUUGAUUUUUAGGAAAAGGCCGAGAAUUGGGUAAACGGCUAUAUGAUGGAAUUUUCUGAGACAGAAUUUUCCAUGCUCUGACGCCAUGAAGAAAUAGAAGGAGAUUUGAAGAUGUAUUUUUAUUGUAAAUUGUCUUACUUUGAGAUAUAUUGUACACCUCUAUUUAUAGAGCUAGACAGGUAAAUGUGCCUAGGUACAAAUGAACUUGGGACUCAUGAUAAAUUCCCUAGAGACCCUAAAUGUACUCUUUCCCACAAUAUUGAGACUACCAAGUUAUCUAUUUCCAA